GACGAACGCUGGCGGCGUGCUUAACACAUGCAAGUCGAACGGAAAGGCCCUGCUUUUGUGGGGUGCUCGAGUGGCGAACGGGUGAGUAACACGUGAGUAACCUGCCCUUGACUUUGGGAUAACUUCAGGAAACUGGGGCUAAUACCGGAUAGGAGCUCCUGCUGCAUGGUGGGGGUUGGAAAGUUUCGGCGGUUGGGGAUGGACUCGCGGCUUAUCAGCUUGUUGGUGGGGUAGUGGCUUACCAAGGCUUUGACGGGUAGCCGGCCUGAGAGGGUGACCGGCCACAUUGGGACUGAGAUACGGGCCAGACUCCUACGGGAGGCAGCAGUGGGGAAUAUUGCAGAAUGGGCGGAAGCCAGAUGCAGCAACGCCGCGUGCGGGAUGACGGCCUUCGGGUUGUAAACCGCUUUCGCCUGUGACGAAGCGUGAGUGACGGUAAUGGGUAAAGAAGCACCGGCUAAAUAAGAG
rnacentral:rRNA from 1 species